AGUCGUUAAGAAGUUUCCAAAGUUCCAUAAUACCCCUAAAUUCUGUCUAUUAUUCCGCUAAGCCUUCCUCUAAACACCAGUAUCAUCACCCAAAAAGCAAAAGGGCUAAAUCCGUCAUUUCAUUUCUGUCUAUUUAAUCACGCUUCUACGCUCCCUCCCUUUUUUCGUUCCUUUUUGUGUCUCUCUCACACAAACACACACUUUACUCUGUUUAUGCACACACAUAAAAGAUGUUUCUGUUUCUGCCCAAAAUAACUUCAAUUAUUCAAUGGUGCUUUUGGAAUUUGGAGCACUCUAUGUGAUAGCUACACGCCUAUAGUAAGGAAUUUUCGUUCCAUCAACUUUUGUCCCGUUUACUAUUUGCGCAGUUUUUUGUGCAAUUAUGGAGUCGGUGUUGGAGUUUCUCUUGCCAUCAUGGUGGGAGGUGCAAGUCACCGUCUUCGCGGCGGCCUUCAUUGUUCUCUCUUGCUGGUUCUUCACCCUCGACGGAGAUGACAUAGUUGAUUAUCGCACUCGGGUUGACGGUUCUGGUAUUGUCAGUAGCGUCACUAAAGUGGAGGAUGAUCCAGCAUAUAGAAUGUGCCAGUUAAAAAGGGAUGCUCAAACUAAUUCUGCAUAUGUAAUCAAGGUUGAAUUGUUGGCUGCUAAAAAUCUUAUUGCUGCUAAUUUGAAUGGGACUUCAGAUCCAUAUGCAAUCAUCACUUGUGGGAAACAAAAGAGAUUUAGUUCAAUGGUUCCUGGUUCAAGAAAUCCUAUGUGGGGGGAGGAGUUCAACUUCUCUGUUGAUGAGCUUCCAGUAGAGAUUAAUGUGACAAUAUAUGAUUGGGAUAUAAUUUGGAAAAGUGCUGUUCUUGGUUCAGUGACUGUAGCUGUUGAAAAUGAAGGUCAAACUGGUGCAGAAUGGCAUACAUUAGACAGUUCAUCUGGGCAGGUUUAUCUUCAUAUUAAAACUUUAAAGCACAAUGUCAAUUUUUCAAGAGGUUUGAACGGCUAUGCUAAUACUCGUAGACGUAUUGCUUUGGAUAAAGAAGGACCAACUGUUGUUCAUCAGAAACCUGGGCCGCUGCAAACAAUAUUUGAUCUCCCUGCUGAUGAGGUUGUUGAACAUAGUUAUUCAUGUGCUCUAGAAAGGUCAUUCUUGUAUCAUGGCCGUAUGUAUGUUUCGACAUGGCAUAUCUGCUUCCACUCAAACGUAUUCUCAAAGCAAAUGAAGGUAAUUAUUCCUUUAGCGGAAAUAGAUGAGAUAAGGAGGAGCCAGCAUGCAUUUGUUAAUCCUGCUAUUACAGUAAUUCUCCGCAUGGGUGCUGGCGGCCAUGGGGUGCCUCCGUUAGGAAAUCCGGAUGGUAGAGUAAGAUAUAAAUUCGCAUCUUUUUGGAAUAGGAAUCAUGCGUUAAGAGCCUUGCAACGUUCAGCAGAUAACUAUCAUGAAAUGCUAGAAGCUGAGAAGAAGGAGAUGGAACAGUCGGCACUGCGUGCACAUAGCAGCUCGGUUAAAGGAUGUAAAAAGAUGGAAUUAAAUCAGGAAGAAAGUGUGACCAAGAUUCAGAAAUGUCAACCAUUUAUUAAAGAAGAAGUCCUCUCUGGUAUAUAUGAUGAUGUUUUGCCAUGCACAGCCGAGCAAUUUUUUGACUUGCUAUUGGCUGAUGGUUCAAAUUUCACUAAUGAAUACCGUGCAGCAGGGAAAGAUUUCAAUCUCAAUAUGGGUGAAUGGAAUUCUGCUGAUGAAUAUGAUGGUCAAGUCAGAGAAAUUACUUUCAGAACCAUAUGUAAUAGCCCUAUGUGCCCUCCAGAUACAGCCGUGACAGAGUAUCAACAUGCUGUUUUAUCGCUGGAUAAAAAAGCUCUUGUAUUUGAGACUGUUCAACAGGCCCAUGAUGUGCCGUUUGGGUCAUGCUUUGAGGUACACUGUAGGUGGUCGUUAGAAACAACUUCUGAAUCAUCCUGCACUUUGGACAUAAAGGCCGUUGCAUUGAAAAAGCAGUUUUGGCGGGGCGGGGGGCGCCUCUUUGGCUAUGAAAGAUUCUUGCAUUAAAAAGAGAGCCAGAAUGUUGUUUCUAAAUGGCUCAAGUAGUGGUUUAUCACCAGGAAUAUGUCUACAAUUUAAGUAGUUGAACUAGCCUACCACUUAAAACGUAUAUUUAGGGUAUCUUCUAACUUAUCAUUUUGCUUAUCAUCUAUUAUGCUUUUGGGCAAAUCAUCUGCCUAUCACUCUAAUUUACAUUCUCACUAGACUCUUACAGAGAAUUGAUACCCUUGUCAUUCAUCACACUUGGAUUUAAUUAGAUAGGAAGCUGUUUUCCUGGUGCAAUGAUGAGUUCAGCGCUUAUGAGUGCUUUCACAGAUGUUGUGCUUGACCAAGUUUCACCUUCCAAGCUUGUUUGAUCUGACUUGCUGUUGGAUUCUCUCUUUGAAACCCUAGAGAUAUCAUAUUUAUGUUUUCGUUCGGACGGCUAAAUACUGAAUCUCUAGCACGUGACACUGUUAUUUUUCUGGUGCACAUUUCAAGAAGUGGUGCAUUAUGCAGUCUAAAAUUAAGUCAGGAGCUAUUAACGAGUACAAGAAAGAGAUGGCAA